GUGUAAGUUAUUAAGGGCACACGGUGGAUGCCUUGGCAUUAAGAGCCGAUGAAGGACGUGUGAAUCUGCGAUAAGCCUCGGGGAGCCGAUAACUGGGCUGUGAUUCGAGGAUUUCCGAAUGGGGAAACCUGGCUCAUCUUCAUGGUGAGUUACCGCCAGCUGAAUGUAUAGGCUGGUUGGGGGGAACGCGGGGAAGUGAAACAUCUCAGUACCCGCAGGAAGAGAAAAUAAAGUAAUGAUUCUGUGAGUAGUGGCGAGCGAAAGCGGAAGAGACUAAACCUGUGGUGUGUGAUAGCGGUUAGGCGUUGCAUCAUGGGGGUUGUGGGAGUCACAGUGGUAGUUCUAACUGGCUGCCGGCAUGAUGUUCAGGAUGGUAGGUGAACGACUUGGAAUGGUCGGCCGUAGAGGGUGAGAGUCCCGUAAUCGAAAUUGUUCUGUCCGUGGUGUGGCCACCCGAGUAGCACGGGGCUCGUGGAAUCUCGUGUGAAUCUGCCAGGACCACCUGGUAAGUCUAAAUACUUCUUAAUGACCGAUAGUGAAUCAGUACCGUGAGGGAAUGGUGAAAAGUACCCCGGGAGGGGAG
rnacentral:rRNA from 1 species